AUAUCAAUAAGCGGAGGAAAAGAAACCAACAGGGAUUGCCUUAGUAACGGCGAGUGAAGCGGCAAGAGCUCAAAUUUGAAAUCUGGCCUCUUUGGGGUCCGAGUUGUAAUUUGUAGAGGAUGUUUCGGGUACCGCCUCGGUUUAAAUUUCUUGGAACAGAAUGUCAAAGAGGGUGAGAAUCCCGUCUUGGACCGGUGGUAGGGCCCGUGUGAAACUCCUUCGACGAGUCGAGUUGUUUGGGAAUGCAGCUCAAAAUGGGUGGUAAAUUUCAUCUAAAGCUAAAUAUUGGCCAGAGACCGAUAGCGCACAAGUAGAGUGAUCGAAAGAUGAAAAGCACUUUGAAAAGAGAGUUAAACAGUAUGUGAAAUUGUUGAAAGGGAAGCGCUUGCAACCAGACUUGUGCGCGGUGGUUCCCCUAUCCUUUUGGAUGGGUUACUCCGCCGCGUCCAGGCCAACAUCGGUUCUGGGGGUCGGUCAAAGGCCUUGGGAAUGUAUCUACCCUCCGGGCGUAGACUUAUAGCCCUUGGUGUCAUGCGACCUCCCGGGACCGAGGAACGCGCUUCGGCUCGGAUGUUGGCGUAAUGGUUGUCAGCGACCCGUCUUGAAACACGGACCAAGGAGUCUAACAUCUAUGCGAGUGUUUGGGUGUCAAACCCGGAACGCGGAAUGAAAGUGAACGGAGGUAGGAAGCUUCGGCUGCACUAUCGACCGAUCCUGAUGUCUUCGGAUGGAUUUGAGUAAGAGCAUAGCUGUUGGGACCCGAAAGAUGGUGAACUAUGCCUGAAUAGGGUGAAGCCAGAGGAAACUCUGGUGGAGGCUCGCAGCGGUUCUGACGUGCAAAUCGAUCGUCAAAUUUGGGUAUAGGGGCGAAAGACUAAUCGAACCAUCUGGUAGCUGGUUCCUGCCGAAGUUUCCCUCAGGAUAGCAGUAACGUUUUCAGUUUUAUGAGGUAAAGCGAAUGAUUAGAGGCCUUGGGGUUGAAACAACCUUAACCUAUUCUCAAACUUUAAAUAUGUAAGAAGUCCUUGUUGCUUAAUUGAACGUGGACAUUUGAAUGUAUCGUUACUAGUGGGCCAUUUUUGGUAAGCAGAACUGGCGAUGCGGGAUGAACCGAACGUGAGGUUAAGGUGCCGGAAUGCACGCUCAUCAGACACCACAAAAGGUGUCAAUGCAUCCAGACAGCCGGACGGUGGCCAUGGAAGUCGGAAUCCGCUUAGGAGUGUGUAACAACUCACCGGCCGAAUGCAUUGGCCCUGAAAAUGGAUGGCGCUUAAGCGUGCUACCUAUACCUCGCCGUCAGGGUUGACAUGAUGCCCUGACGAGUAGGCAGGCGUGGAGGUCCGUGACGAAGCCUUGGGGGUGACCCUGGGUCGAACGGCCUCUAGUGC
rnacentral:rRNA from 1 species